rnacentral:rRNA from 1 species
UUUCGUGCCAGNCCANCGCGGUUAUACGAAAGGCCUAAAAUAAUGCCCACGGCGUAAAGAGUGACUAGAAAUACCCCAGCCUACUUAAAUAAAAUCGAAAUUUAGUUGUGAAACACCAAAAUCUAAAGAAUCCCGCACACUUAAGAAAGCAUGGACCUUUAACUCACUAAAACUAAGAAACAAACUAGGAUUAGAUACCCUACUAUGCUUAGUCCUAACCUCAGAUAUUAACAUUACCAGAUAUCCGCCAGAGAACUACAAGUGAAAAACUCGAAACUCAAAGGAUUUGGCGGUGCUCCACCCAACCUAGAGGAGCCUGUCCUGUAAUCGAUACCCCCCGAUCAACCCAACCACCUCUCGCCCAACACAGCCUAUAUACCGCCGUCGCCAGCCUAUCCCAUGAGGGACAAAAAAUAAGCACAAUAGUAACACCACUAAAACGUCAGGUCAAGGCGUAGCUAAUGGGGUGGAAGAGAUGGGCUACACUUUCUGCCAAAGAAAAUACGAACGGCCCUAUGAAAUCUGGCACCAGAAGGCGGAUUUAGCAGUAAAACAAGUAAGAGUACUUUUUUAAAAACAGCCCUGGAGCGCGCACACACCGCCCGUCACCCUCCUCAACAACCAUUUAACCAAAAAACUAUAAAAUCAUAAACUACUAGAUGAGGCAAGUCGUAACAUGGUAAGCGCACUGGAAAGUGUGCUUGGAAUA